rnacentral:rRNA from 1 species
AUUAGAGUUUGAUCAUGGCUCAGGACGAACGCUGGCGGCGUGCUUAACACAUGCAAGUCGAACGGCAGCACAGGAGAGCUUGCUCUCUGGGUGGCGAGUGGCGGACGGGUGAGGAAUGCAUCGGAAUCUGCCCCGACGUGGGGGAUAACGUAGGGAAACUUACGCUAAUACCGCAUACGACCUACGGGUGAAAGUGGGGGACCGCAAGGCCUCACGCGAUUAGAUGAGCCGAUGUCCGAUUAGCUAGUAGGUGGGGUAAAGGCCCACCUAGGCGACGAUCUGUAGCGGGUCUGAGGGGAUGAUCCGCCACACUGGGACUGAGACACGGCCCAGACUCCUACGGGAGGCAGCAGUGGGGAAUUUUGGACAAUGGGGGCAACCCUGAUCCAGCCAUGCCGCGUGAGUGAAGAAGGCCUUCGGGUUGUAAAGCUCUUUCGGCCGGGAAGAAAUCGCGCUCUUUAAUAGAGGGUGUGGAUGACGGUACCGGACUAAGAAGAAU